rnacentral:rRNA from 1 species
GACGAACGCUGGCGGCGUGCCUAAUACAUGCAAGUUGAGCGAUGAAGAUUGGUGCUUGCACCAAUUUGAAGAGCAGCGAACGGGUGAGUAACGCGUGGGGAAUCUGCCUUUGAGCGGGGGACAACAUUUGGAAACGAAUGCUAAUACCGCAUAACAACUUUAAACAUAAGUUUCAAGUUUGAAAGAUGCAAUUGCAUCACUCAAAGAUGAUCCCGCGUUGUAUUAGCUAGUUGGUGAGGUAAAGGCUCACCAAGGCGAUGAUACAUAGCCGACCUGAGAGGGUGAUCGGCCACAUUGGGACUGAGACACGGCCCAAACUCCUACGGGAGGCAGCAGUAGGGAAUCUUCGGCAAUGGACGAAAGUCUGACCGAGCAACGCCGCGUGAGUGAAGAAGGUUUUCGGAUCGUAAAACUCUGUUGGUAGAGAAGAACGUUGGUGAGAGUGGAAAGCUCAUCAAGUGACGGUAACUACCCAGAAAGGGACGGCUAACUACGUG